rnacentral:lncRNA from 1 species
CUCAAUCUCCACUUGAAGUGAAUGAGUCAGAAUUUCUCACCUUGAAGGUGAAGUUCAAGAAGAAUGAUCCGAAAGCUCUUUGUGGCCUACAUAGGAUUGGUGUUUUAUCCUCAAGGAAAAGCAGAUAUUUUAUCUUCUGUUCUUGUGGCUAUUUCACAAGAAUGGAAAACUAAUGGGAAACUUGGAAAUUCUAGAACCAGAGCCAUGGUUCAGAUUGUGUGUGUAAGGCCACCGUGUAAACUCUGUGAAGGCAGGGACUUUUUCUGCCUCAAUCCUGGCUGUAUCUCCAGAAUAUGCUUGGUACAUGUCCCUUCAGAAGCCAUUGGCUUCUUGUCUGCAGUUGGGGUCUUUAUUGUUCUUCUGGCUGUCCUCUUCCUCUUCAUCAACAAGAAGCUGUGUUUUGAAACGAUAGGAGGUCUUCCAUAUCUGGAGCAACGAGGAAAAAGAAAGCACUCUAAAGACAAGACUGGGAUCCGUGAAGGCCUGG